rnacentral:rRNA from 1 species
CCUACGGGGGGCAGCAGUGGGGAAUUUUGGACAAUGGGCGCAAGCCUGAUCCAGCAAUGCCGCGUGCAGGACGAAGGCCUUCGGGUUGUAAACUGCUUUUGUACGGAACGAAACGGUCUGCCCUAAUACGGUGGGCUAAUGACGGUACCGUAAGAAUAAGCACCGGCUAACUACGUGCCAGCAGCCGCGGUAAUACGUAGGGUGCGAGCGUUAAUCGGAAUUACUGGGCGUAAAGCGUGCGCAGGCGGUUAUAUAAGACAGAUGUGAAAUCCCCGGGCUCAACCUGGGACCUGCAUUUGUGACUGUAUAGCUAGAGUACGGUAGAGGGGGAUGGAAUUCCGCGUGUAGCAGUGAAAUGCGUAGAUAUGCGGAGGAACACCGAUGGCGAAGGCAAUCCCCUGGACCUGUACUGACGCUCAUGCACGAAAGCGUGGGGAGCAAACAGGAUUAGAUACCCCGGUAGUC